rnacentral:rRNA from 1 species
CGUACACUCCUGCGGGAGGCAGCAGUGGGGAAUUUUGGACAAUGGGCGAAAGCCUGAUCCAGCCAUGCCGCGUGCAGGAUGAAGGCCUUCGGGUUGUAAACUGCUUUUGUACGGAACGAAACGGCCUUUUCUAAUAAAGAGGGCUAAUGACGGUACCGUAAGAAUAAGCACCGGCUAACUACGUGCCAGCAGCCGCGGUAAUACGUAGGGUGCAAGCGUUAAUCGGAAUUACUGGGCGUAAAGCGUGCGCAGGCGGUUAUGUAAGACAGUUGUGAAAUCCCCGGGCUCAACCUGGGAACUGCAUCUGUGACUGCAUAGCUAGAGUACGGUAGAGGGGGAUGGAAUUCCGCGUGUAGCAGUGAAAUGCGUAGAUAUGCGGAGGAACACCGAUGGCGAAGGCAAUCCCCUGGACCUGUACUGACGCUCAUGCACGAAAGCGUGGGGAGCAAACAGGAUUAGAAACCCUAGUAGUCCC